AACGAACGCUGGCGGCGUGCUUAACACAUGCAAGUCGAACGCGAAAGUCCCUUCGGGGGCAAGUAGAGUGGCGCACGGGUGAGUAACGCGUAGGGACGUACCUAAGGGUGGGGAAUAACCACGGGAAACCGUGGCUAAUACCGCAUAAUAUCGCAAGAUCAAAGGAGGCCUCUACUUGUAAGCUUCCGCCGUUAGAGCGGCCUACGUCCUAUUAGCUAGUUGGUAGGGUAAAAGCCUACCAAGGCGAAGAUGGGUAACUGGUCUGAGAGGAUGAUCAGUCACACUGGAACUGAGACACGGUCCAGACUCCUACGGGAGGCAGCAGUGGGGAAUCUUGCACAAUGGGCGAAAGCCUGAUGCAGCAACGCCGCGUGGGUGAAGAAGGUUUUCGGAUUGUAAAGCCCUUUCGGCUGGGAAGAAGGGCGAAGUGGUUAAUACCCACCUCGUCUGACGGUACCAGAAUAAGAAGCACCGGCUAAUUCCGUGCCAGCAGCCGCGGUAAUACGGAAGGUGCAAGCGUUGUUCGG
rnacentral:rRNA from 1 species